ACAAAGGACACGGGAUAUACUACAAUAGAUCAAAUAUUGGUCGCAGUGGUUUAUGUUCCGAACAGAAAAAAAAGGCUCUCAUGGGUCAAUUUGUUUCCAGGAUGCAUAUUAUCUCUGAUUCCCUUACCAUGCUAAUUCCAAACAUAUCCACAGCUGUCAGCCCCUGGUGAUUUAUUAUCAACAAAAAUAAUUAAAGUCCAAUUAUUUUCACUUUUCAGCUCAGAAGUUUACCAACGCUUCAUUGGUCUACAUAACUGAGACAGUUUUAGAGGAAAUCGGAAUAAUUGAAAAAGGCCCGCAAGUGGUAAUUCUAACCGUGGUAGCAAAACUGAAAAAAGCUCAUCAUGACAGUACAUCGGAUACAAACCCUACCCAAGCUGGACCAUCACGAAGAUUAACUGAGUCUCCGAGUGAAGCUGUAACAAUCCGACAAACCCUGGAACGAGAUGCUACUUGUUGAAAAAUACUUUACACUAAAGUUGAUGCUGGAAAUGUACCGACACAUACUGAACUGUUGUCAGUGGUUCGAGUUCUUUGUAAUAAUAUGGUAUCGAAAUUGCUGAAUGAGAAAAUGUAAGUAUAUUAUAAACGAGAUCCAUUAAACAACGAAACAUUUAAGGAAGAAAGGGUUCAAAUUUCAUAUCAAUCAAUUCAAAUAAAAUCGAUUGAAGAAUCAGUGAAUGAACUCUAUGCUAUUCUUGAGAAAUUUGCGAAGGAAUCUUUAGAUGUAUUUCUGAAGAAAUUCGAAGUAGAGUCUCUAGAAUAAUUUCUAGGAUAGUCCUUUUAGAAUGAUAAGUUGAAUUCUUGAAAAUAUUUAGAGUAUCUUUUUGAUCCCUGCUCGGUCUUUUUUUUCCCAUUCGGUUCAUUUUUGGUCUCUUCUAUCAAGCAUAAGGUCUCUACAGUUCCUAUUUUAAAAAGCAGUCAUCCGCUACCAGCCUUGAAAAGAUUGAAACACAUUUUUAUUACCUUUUUCUGAUCCUGUUUUUAAAGUUUAUUUAUUUUUGCAUUCAUUUCAGUUAUCCAUCAACUGAAGAGAAAAAAGCGUUGGCAAAGCGAGUUAUUGAAACUUUUUCCAUAUUGGCUUCCACAAAAAUAACGGAAAACUCUCCCGACCAUUCAUACUUUUUUUGGAGAAAUGGAGGCAAAGGACCAAAUCAUGAACAUUCGGGACUCAUUCAUACUCACUUACGGAACAAAGCCAAAAAGCUUAAGGCCGAAGACCGAAAAUACACUCAUAAGAAAAAAGCUGACAAAGUCAGCAGCAUUCCGACUGGAAUAGUUGAGCUAGCUGAAGAAUGUGCUCACAAGGAAGCUACAGUCGCCAAUUUCAAUACAAUCGUAAAGUUCAUGGAAAAAACGCACACUCUUCACAUCAUGAUGCUGCAAGAUAAGAAGCCAUUCGAUUUCAUUCUUCAAACAUUUCCGCAUUUCAAAUCAUUUGAUGGACUUUUGGUAAGUAUCUUCAUAUCUAUGUUUUGAAAAUUAUCUUUAAUUUUUCAUUCUACACCUGCAUUACAGAAUCAAAAAGCAUAUCAAUACAGAGUCAGAAUUAAGGCGAAUGUGAACACUAAUACAUUGUCAGUAAAAUCGGUUUGAAGUUCAGCGGAUAUAAUUUCAAUUCUAUAUUAUGUUUCCGAUCGAUUUAAUCGUAUGAUGC